ACCUAUUUGGUUUACCGACGUCUAACAGUUGGUAAAGUGCUCCACUGGAAAUGGAGAUGUCCCGGGUUCGAUACCCGGACCAGGCA
rnacentral:tRNA from 1 species